rnacentral:rRNA from 1 species
UACAGAGGUCUCAAGCGUUGUUCGGAUUCAUUGGGCGUAAAGGGCGCGUAGGCGGCGGGGUAAGUCGGGUGGGAAAUCUCAGAGCUCAACUCUGAAACUGCACUCGAUACUGCUCUGCUUGAGGACUGGAGAGGAGACUGGAAUUCACGGUGUAGCAGUGAAAUGCGUAGAUAUCGUGAGGAAGACCAGUGGCGAAGGCGGGUCUCUGGACAGUUCCUGACGCUGAGGCGCGAAGGCCAGGGGAGCAAACGGG